CGUUUGCAUCUGUUGUUUUAUGUGCUGCAUUUGUCAAUAUCUAUGCCCACGGAGGGCGGCUACAAUGGAGAUGAAGACGGAUACAAGACAGAUUACGACGAAUACGAGACUACAGAGGCUGUAGCUCUACCUACCAAAAAAGGAACCACACGAAGGUUAAACAACCGUGGAAAAAAUAAAAAGGAAAAGGAAUAUACUGAUAUACAACAGUUCCUUAACACAACUGAGAAAAUAUGGGUAUACCAAAGCACUGAAAGAACUAAGGAAACAUGCAAGGUGGACGAUAUUGUUUACGUAUAUGAGCUCGGUGCCUGCAUAACCAGGUAUCACACGUCUAAAGGAUCUGUGAAUAAAACUUCUGCUGAGGUCCAGUUCACAUUUCAUCGGGCUACUAAAGAUUCCAGCCACCCUUACAAUGAAAUGACAGUUCUAAAGGAAGGCA